rnacentral:lncRNA from 1 species
UGAAAUUCUUCUUAUCUGUUAGCCAUAUGCUGUCUCCUUUGCGUGACUACCAAUCCGACCUGGAACACAGCAUAUGCAACCUUCUACUUCUCAACCCCUCUGAAGUAAUAAGUAAUAGAAUUCUGAAUCUAUCCUCUCUCUGAAUGGUUGUCUGCUCACCCGGUGUAAGGAGUACUCUGGAAGUUCUUGAUGGCUGGGGCAUAUCAGGAAGCGGGAAACACGUUCUAGUACACUUAAAAUUGAACACAUACAGAUUGUCUGUAGAUCUCGCUGCUCAAUUUAGGUGGACAACAAUAUCUUUGGUCGUCGUCAGCUGAAUGGUCCUUAAGGAAUGUUAUCUAGGAACUUAGGAUCACAUUGUCUUGUCACUUAUAACAUGUCCUAAUUUUUUUUACAAUCUCUCGUAUUUAAGUGGACCACAAUACCGACGAUUGACCAUAUCUAUUCAUGAAGGGGGAGGUACUCAUAAACGGAUAAAGGCUGUCUAAAAACUUUGAUCCCAAAUCACUCUUAAAGUUAGCUAUUAUUUUUUUUUUUUUUAAGUUUGUUCAUAGUGUUCUUCUAAUUUAAAUAUUAGGGGAGAAUUAAAAUUAAAAAAAAUCAAUCAAACAAAAAUAAAAAAAAAUUCAAAAUCAAAAAUAGUGUUAUUUCUGUUUUACUUUUUGUUCUAAGUUUUCUUUUAGUUUAGUUUUGUUUUGAAAAGUGAUUUCAGGUAUAGAUAAGACUCAUGGAGUUUGUGUCGAAGAUUUAUGAGCCAAGGGUUCGUCUGUGAGCAUCGAAGAAUUCUCAUUCGAAGGAGCAAGAAAUGAAGAUUAUUCUUUCAACAUUCAAUCUGUCAACUCCAGAAGCAAGGUGAAGCAGAAAUUGAAGAUUAUGUGACAGAUUGCAUUGAAGCCUCCUCAAUCAGUCUACUGCUAUCUAUGAACCUGCUGAAUUGAUACAAAAGAUUUGUUCUCUCUGAUGUUCUCUCUGAAGAUUCUCAAGCUGAAAGCUCUAUCUUUCAAGAAUCAGUACGUCAAGCCUCCUCACCCAAUGGGCGUUCAAUGUCAAUUUAUGAAGAAAAGUCCAACUGCUCAAGAUGAAGUCAUUUAUUGAAGAUUCAUCAAGUUCAUCUUGAAGCUGUGAAGUCAUCGAAGAUUAAUGCUGAAGCCAAGCUCCCAUUGAAGAUUGACAAGAAAAGCCAGCUACUUUUUUGGGGGAGCUUAUUGCGUUAAUUAAGAAAAGAAAGCUAUAAACCAAGGGGGAGAUUGUUGGGUCAAAAUAUGGUUUAUACUUUGCUUUUCUGGGCAAUUAUAUUUUUAUGUAAUAUUUUAUUAGCUUACAGUCUAGUUUACGGCCAGGUGGGGUUUACGGUUGAGUUUACGACCGUAAACAGGUUUACGGCCGUAAACCCAUUUACGGCCCAUGUCCACCAAGCCUAUGUUCCCCUUGUAUAAAUGUAGGUGUUAGGGUGUGAGGAACAGAUUGAUGAAAAGUAGAGAGUUUACGGCCUAUAGAGAGAAAAACGAGUGUGUGUGAAUCUUGUAUUUGGAUCUACAUUCUAAUCAUCAAAUAAUACAAGAUUCAUCAUCUUCUUCUUCUCCUUCUCUUCUAUUGAUCUGACAUCAUCCGUUUGAUCGGGAUUCCGCACCAUCAAACGGAUCUGAUUGAUACACAGACAAAUUAGGGAUUUACUAUUUGUAUCAGAGUUUGGUUGUAUCAGUCAAUUUUGUUAGAUUUGGAGCAUUAUUUGAUCUUAUUUUCGAAAGAUUUUUGCGUUUUUGGAUUGAUCUCUGAAAAAUAAGGGGGGUUUGUUCUUCGUGUUUUUCAUAAAAAAAGAUUUUUGAUCGAGUUUUAGUGCUUCAAAGUCGAAAAAUCGGUGUUUUUGGUCGAAACCUGCGAGGGUGUGGCGGAGUUUGCGGUCGACGGCUAGGGUUUCGGAGUCCACGGCCCGAGGUUCACGGUCCGGAGUUUGCGGCCUGAGGUUUGCGGCUCGGAGUUUGCGGCCUCGCACCUUGCACAAGGUCCUCGUAGCAGCUAGUUCGUCGUCCUCGCUUCGUAGCUGCUUCGUCGCCUCACUUCGCAUAUAUGAAAAAUAGGAAACUAGUUUGGGGGUCUGCCGAGAAUCGAACUCGAGACCUCUGAUUCAUCGACCAGCGCCUUAACCAACUCCUCUAGCAUCACCUUUUUUCCUUUCCUCCGCAUUUUUUAUUCAAAAACACUCAUUUUCGAUUCCAAGUUUCGCAAAAUUGUCAUUUUUAGCCCAAAAAUUAAAUUUCUUUUAUUUUUAAAUUCCUUUUUCAUCUAUAAUAAUAAUAAUAAUAAUAAUAAUAAUAAUAAUAAUAAUACUAAAAAAAAUUGUUUUUAAUUUUUGACUUUUAUUUUUGACUUUUGUCUUUAAAACUUGACUUUGACUUUAAUCGUUGACUUUCUCGUUUGACUUUUAAAAUUUUAAAUUUAGCUUUUCGGUUUGACUUUUGAGUUUGAAUUUCAAGUUUGACUUUUGAGUUUGAGUUUUUAAGUUUGACUUUUAAGGUUGACUUUCGAGGUUUGUAGUCAAAGGGUUUGAUUUUUAAGUUUGAUUUUGGCUUCUAGUUGUGCUUUUUAAUGGCUUUUAAGGUCUACGAGAGAGUUGAAAACAUGAAAGAGAGUCGUGAAGAUAUGUUAGGACAAAAUUUCUACAUUUUCGAUUAUAUCCAUGGAGAAACCCUCGAAAAUCAAUUGCAGCGAUUUACUACACUUACUACUGAGAUGAAUAUAGUUGGGAUCUUUUUGUCUAAGUUUGAGAUAAACAAAAAGCUACUAAAUUCACUUCUAAAAUCGUGGGAUAUGAACGUGGCUAUCAUCAAGAAGACAAAAGAUCUCAAUCAUCUUAGUCUUGUUGAUGUAAUUGAAGAACUUGAUGCUUUGAAGUAUGGAAAUACAAUGAUUUCUGUAAACCUUUUGGUCAAUGAAGUUUCAUGUUCUCAAUCAUGUGAAGUUUCAUGUAUGCUAUCUAGUGAAGAUACGAUUAAAUUUCUUCGGGAACAAAUUGAUUUAUUAAAAAGAGAAGUUGAGGACCAGAGAUAUGAAGGAUAUCAACUCAGGAAAGGACAGAAACCCCUGAAGGCUGAAUUAGAAGCAAAAACCAAGGAAUUUAGGGAACUUCAGGAAGAGUAUAGUAACAAGUGUGAACAUUAUGACUAUAUUAAGAGACAACUUGCUGCUUUAAAUAAAGAACUUGACACUUUGAAAAUUAAGUGUGGAAAAACAGACGUUAGUUUUAAAAAUUAUACUGUGUCAAGUGAGACAGUCGAGUCAUUAUUUGAAACCCAAUUAAAAUUCAAAGAUAAUAAAAACAAGGGUCUAGGGUAUGAUAGUGUUCCUCCACCUUUCAAUCAUAACUACACAUCCAUCCCUAUGACAGGAAGAAAUUGACAGGGAGGCACAUCUUCAAUAUGGCAAACCAGCUGGAUUUGUGUCAGGAGGUAUUCAUGUUGAAUAUACUAAUGUUUCGACUUCAUGUGCAUGUAAAGUAGCAGAAGAUGAGAAAAGGAGAGCACUACCGAACAAACCAAUGACUCUUUGAACUCAGAAUCUGUUGCUUCGAAUUCUGUUACUCCUAACAAACCUGCCGUUGAGAAAUACAGGCCUCCAAUUCCAGCGCAACAGAGUGCUUAUUGCAAGUGUGCAUGUGGGAACAACAAGAAACGAGGCAAGGAUACGCCACCAGGGGCAGGAAGAAACAACUUCCAAGUGAAGAAAAAGACAUGUUUUCACUGUGGAACACCUGGACACAUUGCCAUAAAUUGUCCUAAUCGCGCAUACGUUCCUUACUAUGCACAAGGCUGGCAGAACGAGCCAAGGGGGAUAUUUCUCAAAAGAAACCCCUCAAGGUCACGUUCAGACAAUGCCGAAUGGAAUGCCAUGAAGGACAAGAAUUGAACUCCCAAGGCCAAGCAUCGAACUCCCAAGGCCAAGCAUCCAACUCCCAAGAACAAGAAGGGAAUGCUGGCCCAGAAGUCUAGUUCAAGAGAUGCUCCUGUGAAGCCAAGAUCGUUUAUGUUAAAGUCAUCUAGGCAGACGACUUUAAGUUCCAAAUCAAGUGCCGAGGCACCCAUCGGAUCGAACAAGAAUUGGGUUAAACCCAACUACAAAUGGGUUCCGAAGGCUCAAUCUCCCAAAUCUUCUAACGAUUCUAAUAUUUCUAUAUCUUCUGUUUGUGAUAAACAGGACAUGUCAUGGGAGAAAGUACCUUGCAUUGAUGAAAAAGGUCGACCCAGUUUCAAAAUGGACUGGGUUCCAAAGACCAACUGAUCCCGCUCUGUGCUGGAGCAGUUAUGGAGGCAUAUCAUCAGACUUCAGUUUGUUGGUAGUGGCUACUCCUGGCAUAUGAUUGGGGACAUCACUCAACUGUACAACAUUCAGACCUUUGUUGAGAGUAUGUGUCUUUUUGCAGGAAAGGAAGAAAGGAAGAGAUCACAAAUGGGGUUAGUGCUUAAUGAUAUGAAGAAUUUUUGGAUCUGUUCUGAGAUUAUGCUUGCUGUUCUUAGACCUUCUGAAUGCAGAUUCAAUCGGUGAAUUACGGUUUGCGUCUUCUUCUCUAUACUCCUGAGUUUUUCUUAAGUUGAUUCGCUUUAAAGACUAAUUUUUGUUUUAGGGUAAUUUAACUUUGCGCAUGUACUUUCGUUUCUCUUCUAUGCACAAAUUUAGGGGAGAAAUAAAAACAAAACAAAAAUUAGAAAAUUUUAAUUUUAAAAAAAAAAUCCAAAAGNAAAUAUGGUGUUAAUGGAUUGUGCUUGCAGGAGAUGUUUUGGGAAGUGAUAUAAUCAUGUGAUAAUAGGCAAUCUGAAUCAAUGUAAGGGACUGAAUCUGAAUUGUCUAGGCUCUGUGUUCGAUGCGCUGGUAGGCACGAAAGAUUUUAAAUGGACUUGACUAGGGAGAGUUAAACUUAAUGAAUUAAAGGACUUGAAAAACUUUGACAUAGUUAGAUCCGUUUAGCCUGACAUCAUGACGCUCGGAUAGGUUGAGUAGGGAGAUAUACAUGGGAAUCUACCGGUCACAUUAAAUAACCCGUAUCUAGAACUGUGGAUUCACUUUUCCUCGAUGUGCGGAUUCUGUCAUUAAUUCCGGUUGGAUGGGGCAACCGGUAAAUUCCGAUAAAUUAGGUCUGUAGAAAAUUGUUUUCUUUCUUUCUGUCUAUUAGUCAUAUGUUGCCUCCUCUGUGUGAUCGGGAGAUCCGACCUGGACUGUAAUAUAUGCAACUCUAUUUCUCUGCAUAUUAUAUCUAUGGAAUUCUUCUUAUCUGUUAGCCAUAUGGUGUCUCCUUUGCGUGGCUACCAAUCCGACCUGGAACACAGCAUAUGCAACCUUCUACUUCUCAAUCCCUCUAAAACAAUAAGUAAUAGCAAUCUGAAUCUAUCCUCUCUCCGAAUGAUUGUCUGCUCACCCGAUGUAAGGAGUACUCUGGAAGUCCUUAAUGGCUAGGGUAUAUCAGGAAGCGGGAAACACAUUCUAGUACACUUAAAAUUGAACACAGACAGAUUGUCUGUAGAUCUCGCUGCUCAAUUUAGGUGGACAACAAUAUCUUUGGUCGUCGUCAGCUGAAUGGUCCUUAAGGAAUAUUAUCUAGGAACUUAGGAUCACAUUGUCUUGUCACUUAUAGUAUGUCCUAAUUUUUUUUACAAUCUCUCGUACUUAAGUGGACCACAAUACCGACGAUUGACCAUAUC